CGGGGUGCAGCAGGCGCGAAAACUUUACAAUGCCGGCAACGGCGAUAAGGGAACCUCGAGUGCCAGGUUACAAAUCUGGCUGUCGUGAUGCCUAAAAAGCAUUGCAUAGCAAGGGCCGGGCAAGACCGGUGCCAGCCGCCGCGGUAACACCGGCGGCUCGAGUGGUAACCGUUAUUAUUGGGUCUAAAGGGUCUGUAGCCGGCCGGAUAAGUCUCUUGGGAAAUCUGGCAGCUUAACUGUCAGGCUUUCAGGAGAUACUGUCUGGCUCGAGGCCGGGAGAGGUGAGAGGUACUUCAGGGGUAGGGGUGAAAUCUUGUAAUCCUUGAAGGACCACCAGUGGCGAAGGCGUCUCACCAGAACGGACCUGACGGCAAGGGACGAAAGCUAGGGGCACGAACCGGAUUAGAUACCCGGGUAGUCCUAGCCGUAAACGAUACUCGCUAGGUGUCGGCCACGGUGCGACCGUGGUCGGUGCCGUAGGGAAGCCGUGAAGCGAGCCACCUGGGAAGUACGGCCGCAAGGCUGAAACUUAAAGGAA
rnacentral:rRNA from 1 species